ensembl:lncRNA
AUGAACAACAUGCUAUGCAUGCUGAAAGACAAUGCCAAUGCUGAUGACACUCAGCUCUAUUUAUCCAUGAAACCCGAGGAGACAGAGAAGUUAGUGAAGCUCCAGACCUGUCUUAAAGACAUAAAGUCCUGGAUGUCUUCAAAUUUCCUCCUCCUUAACCCAGGAAAAACUGAGGUCAUGGUGUUUGGUCCUGAACCUCUCAGGGAUAGAUUAGAUCACAUGAUCACUCUAGAUGGUAUCUCAUUAACAUCUAGUCUCUCUGUGAGGAAUCUAGGAGUAACUUUUGAUCAAAAUCUCUCCUUCAACUCACACAUUAAAUUAGUCUCUAGAAGUGCCUUUUUUCACUUGAGGAACAUCUCAAAGAUCAGGAAGCUACUGAUGCAGCCUGAUGCUGAAAAGUUAGUCCAUGCAUUUGUUACUUCCAGGCUGGACUACUGUAACUCCUUAUUAUCAGGGUGUCCAAACAACUCUUUAAGAAGCCUCCAGUUGAUCCAAAAUGCUGCAGUUCUGACAGGUAUUGACAAAAGAGAUCACAUAAGUCCUGUAAUGGCGUCGCUUCAUUGGCUGCCCGUUAAAUUUAGAAUAACUUUUAAAACCCUUCUUCUGACCUACAAGGUCCUCAGAGGCCUAGCUCCAUCCUACCUGGAGGAGCUAGUGAUACCCUAUCAGCCCAAUAGACCGCUCCGCUCUCAGAAUGCUGGUCUACUUGUGGUUCCCAGAGUUUCUAGGAGUAGAAUGGGGGGCCGAGCAUUUAGCUACCAGGCCCCCAUGCUUUGGAACCAGCUCCCUGUCCGGUACGGGAGGCUGACUCCCAUUGCUACUUUUAAGAUCAGACUCAAAACCUACCUCUUUGAAAAAGCUUACUGUUACUAAUUCAGUUAGUUCAAGUUACUAUCAUAGACAGACAAAUUAUCAUACUUAGGGGGGUCGUCUAAUCAUUAGGUCACAUUCUAGCUAUGCUGUUAUAGGCCAAGGCUGCCGGGGUCCGGAAACAUGAUCACCUGACAGGCCUCUGUCACUCCACUGGGUCAUGGUUUCCUCUCCUUUCCUCUCCUCAUCAAGCAGACUAGUUAUGCUGAUUCUUGUGUAGUUUUUCUGCUUCCCCCCCCUCUUAUCUAUUCUGCAGGUAUCACUGCCAUCGGAGCUGCAUAAUGACCGCCGGCCCGUUUUAAGUGAUUGUGCAUAUUUUUUGUUGUGUGUUUCUGUGCUAUGUGAAUCUACUCUCCCUUUUCCAUCCCUCUCCUCUCCUAUCUCCUCUCCUCUCCUCUCCUCUCCUCUCCUCUCCUCUCCUCUCCUCUCCUCUCCUUCUCCUUCUCCUUCUCCUUUUCCUCUCCCUCUCCUCUUCUUUCCUCUCCUCUUUCCCCUCCUCCUCCUUCUCCUCUCCUCUACCUCCCCUUCACUCUACCUCUCCUCUCCUCUACCCCUCUCCUCUCCUACCUAUCCUAUCCUCUACCUGUCCUCCCUCCUCUCCUCUCUCUUUACCCAGCCGGCCAUCAGCAGGAGGGUCCCCCUACAUGAGCCUGGUCCUGCUCAAGGUUUCUUCCUGUUAAAGGGGAGUUUUUCCUUGCCACUGUUGCUUGUCUGGGGUCAGGCCCUGGGAUUCUGGAAAGCGCCUUGAAACAAUUUUGAUUGUAUAAGACACUAUAUAAAUAAAGAUUGAUUGAUUGAUUGAUUGAUGAUUCGCACCACAGCCGAAGGAGUGUGGUCUGUAGAUAGAAUGGUUAAUCUGUGGGUAAGAGAAGGAGAGACGUGCAGUAAAUUUUGGUCACUCGACAUUCCCGAAAAGCAGCCCCCUCCAUUCUCUGACCCAAUUACUAUGAUAUAUGGUAAAGCUCUGGCAUACUUACAACCUGAAGCCCACCUCCACAAUCAAGCUGACUU